rnacentral:lncRNA from 1 species
AUGGAGGAGAUCCCUGGGAUGGAGGAGAUUCCUGAAAAGGAGGAGAUCCCUGGAAAGGAGGAGAUCCCUGGAAAGGAGGAGAUUCCUGGAAAGGAGGAGAUUCCAGGGAUGGAGGAGAUUCCUGGAAAAGAGGAGAUCCCUGGAAAGGAGGAGAUCCCUGGAAAGGAGGAGAUUCCUGGGAUGGAGGAGAUUCCUGGAAAGGAGGAGAUUCCUGGAAAAGAGGAGAUUCCUGGGAUGGAGGAGAUUCUUGUAAAGGAGGAGAUUCCUGGGAUGGAGGAGAUUCCUGAAAAGGAGGAGAUCCCUGGAAAGGAGGAGAUUCCAGGGAUGGAGGAGAUCCCUGAGAUGGAGGAGAUCCCUGGAAAGGAGGAGAUUCCUGGAAAGGAGGAGUUCCCUGGAAAAGGGGAGAUUCCUGGGAUGGAGGAGAUUUGUGGGAAGGAGGAAAUUCCUGGGUUGGAGAAGAUUCCAGGGAAGGAGGAAAUUCCUGGGAUGGAGGAGAUUCCUUGGGAGGAGAAGAUUCCUGCACAGCAGCAGCUCCAUCACCCCGGACCACGCUGGAAUUCCCAAAAAGAACCAGAGAAAUCCCAAAAAAAAUCCUCAUUCCCAGCGGGAUUUGAGGUCCACAUCCUCAGCACUCACCUGAUUCCCGCUGGUUUUUGGGGAGAAUAUUCCAACUAUUUUCCCAUUUUAGCCUCAAACCCCACAAUCUGAAAGAGAGAAAACGAAUCCAGAACAUCUGGGAUUUUUAUUUCCUGGCUUUUCUCGCAGCUCCAGCUGCGUUUGGGUGACCUGUGCUGCUUGUUCUGCUUGGAAAUCACGGAUGCAAUAUUUAUUUUUGUAUGUCGAGGAGGGUUUGGAAGUGCUGGAAAAAAAUUCCUGAAAUUCCUGAUCUUGCCAGGAAAAAGGGAUGGUUUGCAAGUCAGUGAGCCUGUAAUAUAUAAAUGAUCCAAAAGAUAUAAAAAUAGAAAUAUAUAUUUAAAAAAAUGGUUUACAUCACUUUUUAAAAAGAAUCAACUUUGUCUUGCAAAGUCAGUAAUAAAAGCAGGGUGUCAUGGACUUGCUUUAAACUGUUUUAUAAUUAAUUUCAUAAAAAUAAUCAUUAAUUAUUCUUUCAGGAGCGAUUUUUUUCCCCCCUAUUCCUGCUCCAAAGUAACUUGAGCUUUAUCAAAUUCUGGUAUUUUCAGCUCAAAAUGCUUUUUUUUGGGGGGGAAUUACAGGAAAAUGCAGACUCCUGGAGAGGUCAGUAACUUGAGCUUUAUCAAAUUCUGGUAUUUUCAGCUCAAAAUGCUUUUUUUUGGGGGGGAAUUACAGGGAAAUGCAGACUCUUGGAGAGGUCCCCAGCUCACAAAAUCCCAGUGGGAUAUUCUGAAAAAUCGGGAAUUUGCUCAUUGUCCUGAAUUUUGUGACCUUUUUGAAUUUUCCAGGGAGGUUUUUUGGAGCAGCCCUUCUCUCCACUUAAUUCCAGAUUUCUCCAGGGAAGCAAAAACCCCCCCCCCCCCCCCCCCCCCCCCCCCCCCCCCCCCCCCCCCCCCCCCC